rnacentral:rRNA from 1 species
UAGGGAAUCUUCGGCAAUGGACGAAAGUCUGACCGAGCAACGCCGCGUGAGUGAAGAAGGUUUUCGGAUCGUAAAACUCUGUUGUUAGAGAAGAACAAGGACGUUAGUAACUGAACGUCCCCUGACGGUAUCUAACCAGAAAGCCACGGCUAACUACGUGCCAGCAGCCGCGGUAAUACGUAGGUGGCAAGCGUUGUCCGGAUUUAUUGGGCGUAAAGCGAGCGCAGGCGGUUUCUUAAGUAUGAUGUGAAAGCCCCCGGCUCAACCGGGGAGGGUCAUUGGAAACUGGGAGACGUGAGUGCAGAAGAGGAGAGUGGAAUUCCAUGUGUAGCGGUGAAAUUCGUAGAUAUAUGGAGGAACACCAGUGGCGAAGGCGGCUCUCUGGUCUGUAGCUAACGCUGAGGCUCGAAAGCGUGGGGAGCAAACAGG